UUGAGUCCCGGACAGCGUGGGGCGCGGCGGCGAAGCAGGUCACGUGAGCUCGUCUUUCUGCUCGCCGCGGAUUCGCGCCUCCACCGGUUCCCAGCCGCGGCUGCCCGCUCCACGAGCCCGCCCCUCUUUAGGAGGCUACAGCCCGGUCCUUCACGAGAGUUCAGGUGGCCGCCCUGCCCCUCCCCAGCGUGGGCGACGCUUGCUUCUCCCUAAGCCCGCCGUGGAAGGGCUGCCCGGCGCCUCACCUUGCCGUCGCUCUUCCUGCGAAUCUUCUGACAGCGGCCGUAGGAGCCGGUGCCGAUGCUGUGCAGCACCUCGUAGUCCUCCACCCGGGACGGCAUGGCGAGCGGCUACCCUGGCAACCACACCACCGCGCCGCUCGGAGCCCAGGCUCGCCCGCUGCAGGCCAACCGCGCCGACCCCCGAGCCCCUCGUCUGCCUGCCUGAGUCGACGAGCAACCGGCCACCGGGUCAACCGUCGCGGGCUUCGGCCUCGCAUUCUAUUGGUCCACAGCGAAGGUGCAUCUCAACUCUGAUUGGCUGAGAAAACACAACACUGCUAGGCAUCCUGGGAAAAUGCGUGUCGCUAGGCAACCGCGUCGGCGUUGGUGUCUGCGUCUAGCUGCUCUACGGAGUACGAGCCGCGCCGAAAACCCCUGGGACCUGGGAUCGCAAAGCCUGUUGGGGCCUCGGUCAUUCCAUUCCUCGGCUGAAGUCGCUAUGGUAACGGAGGUCGGAGGAUCUGGACUGGAGACACUGGCCUUUUGACCUUUCCACUUUGACCCCACCCGGUUCUGACUCCUCUGCACUCGGGUCCUGAACAUAAACCCUUGUGUGUUGAGGAUUUGAGGAUUUGGUGACCCUGAGGGAUGCGGUGAGUGCACCGAGCACUUUAUAGUCCUCACACCUAGAGAGCCAGAAUCCCUGUUCCAGCCGGGCGUGGUUGCGCACGCAGGCAGAUCUCUGUGAGCUUGAGGACAUUCAGAGCUUUGUAGAGGGUCCCUGCCUUACCCCCACCCGCGAGAAAGACACCCCACGCCCAGAGAGAGAGAGAGAGAGAGAGAGACAGAGAGAGAGAAACUAGGCCCAACUGCCCAGAAGAGAACUGAUUAAAAAAUAAUAAUAAUAAAGGAUAUUCAUAGUGAUAACGCAGAGUUGACAUGUGUUUUCUGAGCACAGUUAGCAUAGUCUAGAUCUCUGAAUAUUAAACUGAGAGACCUGUUGAACAUAGAAACUAAUCCAAAGCUUAGGGAUUGAGUAUGGAAGCAUUCAGAACAGAGUAGUCACCGCACUGCCAAAUUGUACUUCUAAGACAUCUACCAAAAAAGUGUGUUAGUUAAAAAAAAAAAAAGGUGUUCCCUAAUAGCCAAUCCGGGGAGCUGCGUGCAGUUUGCUGACUUCAGCUCACAUAGCCAGUGAAGUGGCCCCGCUUUGACUUGGGGAAGGUGAGCUAAAUAAAGGCUUCCAUCCAGAGCAGGUGGGGGGUAAUGUGCAUUACCAGAAAGCUAAUAAUCUGCUGCAUAAAUGGGUCAUUGUUCUUAAAAUAUCUGUUCGUGGUGUGAUUGAAAAAGAACCCAAUGUCCUAUUAAUAAGAAUUAGAAGCCUCCUUAUGUUAAAAAUAAAGAAUGUAUUCCGUGCGCUGAA
rnacentral:lncRNA from 1 species